AGACAUAUCAUAAUCGUUUCUUCAAUCGCAUAUCAUUUGCCUUCAUACAGUCGUGAUUCAUGCUAAAGAAGUUGUCUGUAUCAAAGAAGAGUUGCAGCUGUAGGAUGAAGAAUUUUUAUGUUUAUAUUUUGAUAUUUACACUUGUAAAUUUUUAGUUAGUAUAUUUAUUAUAUGAUACAUUUUAAAAUACCAUAUAAAGUACAGUACAGAAUGUAGAGGUGCCAAUUGGCACCUUAUUUUUUUUAAUCCAACCUCAUAAAUUUGCCACUGAUAUGAGUGGCAUUCCAAAGCUACUAAUAUCAGUGUGGAUUUA